GCAGUAUCCUAACUGUGCUAAGGUAGCAUAAUCAUUAGUCUUUUAAUUGGAGACUGGUAUGAAUGGCUUAACGAGAAAUUAACUUUUUUUGUUAUAAAUAUUGAAUUUAAUUUUUUAGUGAAAAAGCUAAAAUUUUUCAGAAAGACGAGAAGACCCUAUAGAGUUUUAUGUUUUUAUAUAUUAUGUUUUAUUAGAUUUUCAAUAAUUAAGUAUUAUAAAACAUUUUGUUGGGGCGACAUUUAGAUAUAUAAAACUCUUUAUUUUAAAAAUUUUUAUAAAAAUAUAAUUGAUCCUUUAAAAAAGAUCAAAAGAAAAAAUUACCUUAGGGAUAACAGCGUAAUCUUUUUUAAGAGUUCUAAUCGACAAAAAGGUUUGCGACCUCGAUGUUGGACUAAAAUUUAGGCAUGGUGCAGCAGUUUUGCUUUAAGGUCUGUUCGACCUAUA
rnacentral:rRNA from 1 species